rnacentral:lncRNA from 10 species
AUGAGGAAAACAAAAGCUCAGAAACUAUCUUGGAGUCAGCAAGUAAGAAGGAGCUUAGAAAGGCUUAACAUUUUCCAUGCUUCUGCCUGGCUUCAGAGCCCAUGCACUCUGCCUUACCACGGCAGGUGAAAGAUGGCCCCAAAUUCUUAGGUACAUCUCCUGCCAAAAGACCCCUCCUAUGGGUUCUGUGACUACUUCAAUGAAAAGAAUAGGGCAGAAGAGAUGAUGAGAACUUAACAUCUGGCAGUGUCCAUUUCCUGUCUUUUGAAACUUUCUGUUAAAGGCCUGAGCCACGUAUGAAGUGUGAAUCUUCACACCAUGCAAGAGAAGCCACAUGUUAUUGCUCUGGUCAACAAUCCCAGCUGACCCAACCAGAUAGUGUAUCAGGCAUAUGAGUAAAGCAUUCUUAGAUUCUUCAGUCCAGCCCUUCACCAGCAGAACACCAUUCAGCAACCCUUGUCGGCAUCAUGUGGGACAGAAGAACCACCCAGCUGAGCCUUAUCCAAAUUCCUGACCACAAAAUCAUAAGCACUUUCCUCUAGAAGCCUGAGAUAUUGGGAAUAAGAGUCUCAGCCUCCAAGAGAUGGAGAACAUAUCACAUUGUUUAGUUGAUAUUCACUAUCAUUAAGACAUAGCUGCCUGUUAUAGUAGAUUAUGAAACCCUGGAGAUCAAGGGAUUUGUAUUAGUCUAGCAUAGUGUCUGGCACAUAGUAGGUAUCCAAUAAUAUGUAUAAAAUUGAAUUACAAAUCUUUCUCAGGUUUAAAUAUUAGGUUGGUGCAAAAAUCAUUAUAACUAGGCUCAAAUACAUCUUUAUUAAUCAAAGUAAGAACCUUACAAUCAACACAUUUUUGCCAAUGAGAAAUAAGUUUGUUUACUCCUGUAGGGUAAAAAUCUGAGCUUCAGGAUUCAAUGAACUCUUGGAAAGCAUUUUCUGCAUCCUGCUGGUUGUGGAAAUGUUUUCCCUGCAAAAAGUUUUCAAGAUAUUCGAAGUAGUGGUAGUCAGUUGCUGGGAGGCCAGGUGAACAUGGCAGAUGAGGCAAAAUUUUGUAGCCCAAUUUGUUCAACUUUUGAAACUUUGUGCAAUGUGCCAUUGGGUGUUGUCGUGGAGAAGAAUUGGGUCCUUUCUGUUGACCAAAGCUGGCUGCAGGCAUUGCAGUUUUUGAUGCAUCUCAUCAAUUUGCUGAGCAUACUUCUCAGAUGUAGACGCUCAAUUCCACUUUAAAAUUGCUGCAGUGGCUGGGCACAGUGGCUCGUGCCUGUAAUCCCAGCACUUUGGGAGGCCGAGGCAGGCGGAUCACUUGACGUCAGGAGUUUGAGACCAGCCUGGCCAACAUGGUGAAACCCUGUCCCUACCAACAAUACAAAAAUUAGCUGGGCGUGGUGGCAUGUGCCUGUAAUCCCAGCUACUAGGGAGGCUGAGGCAGGAUAAUUCCUUGAACUCAGGAGGCGGAGGUUGCAGUGAGCUGAGAUGGCGCCGUUGUAAACCAAACUGGGAGAAACAACAAUAUUCUGUCUCAAAAAAAAAAAAAAAA